rnacentral:lncRNA from 1 species
CAGGAAUUCAGCUUACUUUGUGAAAACUCAUACAGAGUCAAGGAAAAAAUAAACCGAAGAGGAUAUCACUGCCAUGCUGAACUUUUUAAUUGACAACAUAUUUGUUGAAUUUGGAGGUUUGGUCUUCCAACAGACUAUUUGAAUCCCAAUGGGUACCAAUUGCGCUCCUCUACUUGCAGAUUUGUUUUUAUUUUCAUAUGAAGCAGAAUUUAUCCAAGGG